AAAUACGCGCUCUGUGAAGCUAAAGCUAUGCGUCAUCGACCAUUUAGGGGGGUAUAUUGAGAACAUAGUUUUAAAUUCGGAGGCUGCGUAUUUCUGGAGCUUAUUUAAGAUUAAAUUUUGAUGGCAGCACUGAAAAAGCGUUACGUAAUUUAUGAAUGAUCUCCACCUUUUUUUAAAAAGUUCGAUUU